AUAUUGGACAAUGGGCGAAAGCCUGAUCCAGCCAUGCCGCGUGUGUGAAGAAGGUCUUCGGAUUGUAAAGCACUUUAAGUUGGGAGGAAGGGUUGUAGGUUAAUACCCUGCAAUUUUGACGUUACCAACAGAAUAAGCACCGGCUAACUUCGUGCCAGCAGCCGCGGUAAUACGAAGGGUGCAAGCGUUAAUCGGAAUUACUGGGCGUAAGGCGCGCGUAGGUGGUUCGUUAAGUUGGAAGUGAAAGCCCCGGGCUUAACCUGGGAAUUGCUUUCAAAACUGACGAGCUAGAGUACGGUAGAGGGUAGUGGAAUUUCCUGUGUAGCGGUGAAAUGCGUAGAUAUAGGAAGGAACAUCAGUGGCGAAGGCAGCCCCCUGGGAUAAUACUGACGCUCAGACACGAAAGCGUGGGGAGCAAACAGG
rnacentral:rRNA from 1 species